GUGCUCUGCAUCCCAAACACAUUCCUCGGAAGCUGCUUUUAUCAUUCCUGAUAACGCGUCCCUGUGCUGCUGCAAUGGCAAACACAGGGCAGGCAGACAGGCCAGGCUGAGCGGAGCCAGCCCACGCUCCCAGCACCUGCCCAGCCCCGCAGGUCUGCUCCUGCACAGCUCUGUGCACAGCUCAGGUGCUGAGCGCUGCCCGAGCGCUGGUUUGGUGGAAGGUCAUUAGAGCCAGGGAACUUUGCUAGGUCACGGUUGGACUCGAUGAUCCUUAAGGUCUUUUCCAACCUGAGUGGUUCUAUGAUUCUGAGCACAGGGAAGUGCGAGGAUACAAGCAGAGGAGAGGAGAACAGAGCCGUGUUUAAGCAGCACAACGAUCCUGGGUGCACAGCAGCUCUUCACACACACCUGACCAGUGAAUGAUUUACACAAACCCUGCUUGGCUUCCAGGUUCCCCCACGGGCAGCUGAAGGAAUGGCUUUCUGUGAGACUUGGGGCUCACACCCCCACAUGGAUCAGCUCUGUGCCCCCCCGUGGAACAGUGCACCCCCACGGAGGGGCUCUGUGAACACACACAGAGGGGUUCCGUGCACAUCCAUUAAGGCAGCACUGGCUCAUGCUCUGUGCAGAAUAUCUCACUGCCAGCACCUCGGCGCCCAGCACAGAGCUCACGUCUGCCCACACAGCUCCAGCACUCCAAGUGCCAGCAGCCGAGGGGCACACAGGGCACAGAGCGCCUUCCUCUUCCUCCCUUCUACAGAGGAGCUUCAGCCUUGCUCACGCAUAGAGAAAAAACAGUGUCUGGAUCUACGACACCGUGCCAACAGCCAGAAAUCUCACUCAAGGGGUUCGAGCCUUUGUCUACAGACAUCACACGAAGUAGCACAGGGGGCUCUGCAGGAAUCAGACUCCAGGAUUGCUUUAAUCUCAUUACAGUAUUUCAUAUUCUUGACACACUGCUUUCUGUACUCAGAAGCACUGAAUCCUCAAGCACUGUCCCUUAUGGCAGCACAUGGAUCUGUUGAGAGCUCUGACGGCCCUGCACUUCUGGUGGCACAGAGCUCCAUGCCAAGCAGUGCUGCUGGGCUGCUGCAUGGCACCGACGGAUGUGAGCAGCUGCUUUGUGGAGACAAACACCAGUCUGCUCUCUUCUGGUACAAAUCACUUUGCAGGCACAGACACCUCUGUGCGUUCCUUCAUAGCGCUGUCUUUCCAGGAUGAAACACUCACAUUGCCUGGAGAAGCUGCUUAACUGGCAUGCAAAUUCAGAAGCAAUUUGCAAAACUACGCACUGUGCAGAAAUGGAUUUCAAAAGCAUGUAUGCAACAUCUGCAUGAGAUCUCAAAGCUCUUCAGCUUCAAAAGCCAGCUCAGACCUUUGUAACGCUCGCAAUUAAUAAAAACAGCCUCAACUUGACAUUUAUCAAACUCCACCUGAUAUGCAAUCGCACAAGAAGAUCAAAGACCAGGAGAGACGGAUGCUUCUGCAUAAACAGCAACACACACAGAAGAAAGCUGCAAGCCCUGCCAAGACAACAACAAAAAGUAAGACGAGGCAGCAUACCGAGCCGCAGAAAGAAAAUGAUGUGAAUGAUGUAUUGCUAGGACAACAAGGCUGCCUCGCCGAGUGCUGCCUGACGCACAGCUUGUGUCAGGCACUGCCACUGCAAGGAAGAGAUGUGCACGGCACUGCAGAGCUGCCCUGCACACGUGGUGCUCUGCCUUUCACAUCUGCGUGGUGAGCGCUGCACCUUGAACAGCAACACGGCACUCCCAGGGAGGAGAAACACCGGCAGUGCACCCGGAGCUCCUCGUCCUUCCGCCUGCCUGCAGCUCGGGGCAGCCCUGCAGCUCAGGGCGCCGUGGCUGCAGCAGUGCAGGGCAUCCCAGUGCGUGCUGCAGCGUGAGGGCAGCGCGGGGGACUGAAACCGUCACUCGGCACUUCCAGCAGCUCUGAGCACUUCUGGCACGAAUAGGGAAAGACACGGCCAACUCUGCAACAAAAAUAUCUCUUAUUUUGUCUCUAAGUAACUUCUUUGCUAUCUUUGAAGUCUAAGAUCAUCACAAUUGCCCAAUAUUUUGCUUUGCUUUAGUCCUAUUUCUUGCUUGGCACCACCUUCUGCUUUGCCAUCUCAGUGUGUCCUGUGUACAGACAACUCCCUCUUUUUUCCGGUUGACAAAGCACAGCAGCAGCAACACAGCAGUGGGACCAGCACAGGAACAGACAGUGGGACCCGAGGCUGUACGGUGCUCAGGAGGGUUUCACACACUGUAUUUCAAUGAGUAACACGUCAGUGAUGGAUGGGGGAAAAUGCCAACAUGCUCAGUUCUCCUGUACCCAUGAAAGGCUGGGGCUCAAUGCAUUGACCACCAGGCUCGCAUCACUGCCCCCAGCCCCUUGGUGUCACACCUCACCUGCCCUGCAGCAGGACAGGGACGUGAGCACCAGCCGUGGGGAGCUCUGUUACAGCUGCGCAACCAGCACCAGCACAUCCCUGCUGGAGGCAUUUAACCCAGCACGUUCAGUCCUGUUGUGAACAGUCCAAAAACCCUCAGUGGAGGUCACUGAAACAGCACUUUUCAGACACUGGAGGCCCAGCCGCUGCUGCUACCACAUUAAAGUUGGUGCCAGGCAGGAUUCUCAUGUUCAGAUUCUGUCAGAACACACUUAAGAUCUCCAUGCAACUUCAGCUUGCCAGACACUUCUGCAAGGAGAGGACAUGUGUGCACCAGGUACCGACAGCCCAAAGCAGCAGCCCGUAAAUCAGGGUUCUGCAGAUCCUCACGCAGACUCACACUCACUUGUUUUUCCUAUGACUUGGCAAAUGGAAAACAAAAGACAGCUCUGGGCAGUUCCAGGGUUUGGGUCUACAUGCAGACUGCUGGCAGCAGCUCACACGUGCACAGCAGGCCCAGUGUGCCUUUCUCUCCAUACACCAUGUGGAUGCUGCCAUGUUGUAUGGAAACCGUUGAGUCCCAGCCUGCACCAGUGAUUGAACACCUGGGGAAAGGACCGGUCAGCUCUGGGAGCGCAGGUGAAGGCAGUUCAGCUGUGUGAUUGGGAGGGGUGGCUGCACCUCUCUCAGACCCCAUUUAAGGGCUGAGUGCCGCUAGGGAAAGACCUCUGGUUGGAAAUUCCUUCCUUGUGGAGUUUUCCUGUCAGCUGAGAUCUUCAGAGACAGUGUCAGCUGUCAACUACAGACAGGAGAACCUGUUACCUUUCACUGUGAAUAUUAACUGUAAGACUGGUGACUGCUAACAACCCUUCCCACACAAAACCCAAACGGCUCAGAGCCUUCAGAGAGCAGACAGGUCUGACGAGAACAACCGGGUUCUGAUUUGCUGUUGUUUCUUUGUUGUUUUUUCCUGAUCUGAGCAGAGAUCUUUGGCUUCCUCUGCAGGACACCAGCAUCCCACCAAACUGUGACGCCGGUGUUUGUGCCACGCCAGCCUUUGUUACAGCUGUUUUCCAGAUGGGCACACACAGGCUAUGCCAGACACAGCCCCAGUAACGCAGAGCCCUGAGCUGCUCUAAACAAAAGGGUGGCUGCUAAACCUGCUAACACAAACUAAAACCAAGCAGACAAGGAACGCAGCACACACACACACCCUGCACUGCAGGUUCUCCUCUCUCCCCUUGGCCUGAUGCACGCACAGCACUAACAGCAGCGUCUUGGGCUCUAUUUUAAGCUUCUCCAGUAACAGAUGAGAUGCAAGGGACAGCACUGGGAAAGUACAUGCAUUGGUGCCAGAGGGAAAAGUGAGGACAAAAGGCAGUAGGUGUGGGGCUGGGACACAGUAGACCCCCCUCUGGGGAUCAGAGGGCCUCAGUGCUCCUGAAUGAGCAGCUCCCUUAGAGCCGGCACUGAAGUCUAUGUGUGCUCAGAUACCGCUCUCAUCGUUAUUCAGAAAGAAACAAAAACAAUACAUGCACAAAGAGAAGAACUGUGGGCUGAGCUCUCCCAGUUCUGCGACGCUCUGAUGCCGUGACUGCA